rnacentral:rRNA from 1 species
UACGGAGGGUGCAAGCGUUAUCCGGAUUCACUGGGUUUAAAGGGUGCGUAGGUGGGCAGGUAAGUCAGUGGUGAAAUCUCCGGGCUUAACCCGGAAACUGCCGUUGAUACUAUUUGUCUUGAAUACUGUGGAGGUCAGCGGAAUAUGUCAUGUAGCGGUGAAAUGCUUAGAUAUGACAUAGAACACCAAUUGCGAAGGCAGCUGGCUACACAAAUAUUGACACUGAGGCACGAAAGCGUGGGGAUCAAACAGG